rnacentral:rRNA from 1 species
GCAAUGGACGAAAGUCUGACCGUGCAUACGCCGCGUGAGUGAAGAAGGUUUUCGGAUCGUAAAGCUCUGUUGUAAGUCAAGAACGUGUGUGAGAGUGGAAAGUUCACACAGUGACGGUAGCUUACCAGAAAGGGACGGCUAACUACGUGCCAGCAGCCGCGGUAAUACGUAGGUCCCGAGCGUUGUCCGGAUUUAUUGGGCGUAAAGGGAGCGCAGGCGGUCAGGAAAGUCUGGAGUAAAAGGCUAUGGCUCAACCAUAGUGUGCUCUGGAAACUGUCUGACUUGAGUGCAGAAGGGGAGAGUGGAAUUCCAUGUGUAGCGGUGAAAUGCGUAGAUAUAUGGAGGAACACCAGUGGCGAAAGCGGCUCUCUGGUCUGUCACUGACGCUGAGGCUCGAAAGCGUGGGUAGCGAACAGGAUUAGAUACCCUGGUAGUCCACGCCGUAAACGAUGAGUGCUAGGUGUUAGGCCCUUUCCGGGGCUUAGUGCCGGAGCUAACGCAAUAAGCACUCCGCCUGGGGAGUACGACCGCAAGGUUGAAACUCAAAGGAAUUGACGGGGGCCCGCACAAGCG